UGAGGAAUAUUGGUCAAUGGACGCAAGUCUGAACCAGCCAUGCCGCGUGCAGGAUGACGGCUCUAUGAGUUGUAAACUGCUUUUGUACUAGGGUAAACUCACCUACGUGUAGGUGACUGAAAGUAUAGUACGAAUAAGGAUCGGCUAACUCCGUGCCAGCAGCCGCGGUAAUACGGAGGAUUCAAGCGUUAUCCGGAUUUAUUGGGUUUAAAGGGUGCGUAGGCGGUUUGAUAAGUUAGAGGUGAAAUGUUAGGGCUCAACCCUGAAACUGCCUCUAAUACUGUUGAGCUAGAGAGUAGUUGCGGUAGGCGGAAUGUAUGGUGUAGCGGUGAAAUGCUUAGAGAUCAUACAGAACACCGAUUGCGAAGGCAGCUUACCAAACUAUAUCUGACGUUGAGGCACGAAAGCGUGGGGAGCAAACAGGAUUAGAUACCCUGGUAGUCCACGCAGUAAACGAUGAUAACUCGUUGUCGGCGAUACACAGUCGGUGACUAAGCGAAAGCGAUAAGUUAUCCACCUGGGGAGUACGUUCGCAAGAAUGAAACUCAAAGGAAUUGACGGGGGCCCGCACAAGCGGAGGAACAUGUGGUUUAAUUCGAUGAUACGCGAGGAACCUUACCCGGGCUUGAAAGUUAGCGACGAUUCUUGAAAGAGGAUUUCCCUUCGGGGCGCGAAACUAGGUGCUGCAUGGUUGUCGUCAGCUCGUGCCGUGAGGUGUCGGGUUAAGUCCCAUAACGAGCGCAACCCCUACCGUUAGUUGCCAUCAGGUCAAGCUGGGCACUCUGGCGGGACUGCCGGUGUAAGCCGAGAGGAAGGUGGGGAUGACGUCAAAUCAGCACGGCCCUUACGUCCGGGGCUACACACGUGUUACAAUGGUAGGUACAGAGGGCAGCUACCCAGCGAUGGGAUGCGAAUCUCGAAAGCCUAUCUCAGUUCGGAUUGGAGGCUGAAACCCGCCUCCAUGAAGUUGGAUUCGCUAGUAAUCGCGCAUCAGCCAUAGCGCGGUGAAUACGUUCCC
rnacentral:rRNA from 1 species